AGAGUUUGAUUAUGGCUCAGAACGAACGCUGGCGGCAGGCCUAACACAUGCAAGUCGAGCGCGCCCUUCGGGGUGAGCGGCGGACGGGUUAGUAACGCGUGGGAACGUACCCUUUGGUAGGGAAUAGCCACUGGAAACGGUGAGUAAUACCCUAUGAGCCCUUCGGGGGAAAGAUUUAUCGCCAAAGGAUCGGCCCGCGUUAGAUUAGGUAGUUGGUGGGGUAAUGGCCUACCAAGCCUACGAUCUAUAGCUGGUUUUAGAGGAUGAUCAGCAACACUGGGACUGAGACACGGCCCAGACUCCUACGGGAGGCAGCAGUGGGGAAUCUUGGACAAUGGGGGCAACCCUGAAUCCAGCCAUGCCGCGUGAGUGAAGAAGGCCUUAGGGUCGUAAAGCUCUUUCGCCUGUGAAGAUAAUGACGGUAGCAGGUAAAGAAACCCCGGCUAACUCCGUGCCAGCCGCGGC
rnacentral:rRNA from 1 species